rnacentral:rRNA from 1 species
UUGAAAGGGAAACGAUUGAAGUCAGUCGUACCUGCGGGUAAUCAGCCUUUUGGGCAUGAUUCUGUGGAGCAUGAGGAGUUAAACGCCUUCAUGCCUGCAUAUUCGUGUACUUUGGGUGUACUUGCCUGUGUGGUUAGUUAACAUCAAUUUUGGUUAUCAUAAAAUGGUUGGAGGAAUGUAGCUUCGAUUUCGAUUGAAGUGUUAUAGCCUUCGGCAGAUGUGAUGAUCGGGAUUGAGGAUUGCAACGGAUACCCUUCGGGGCUACCUGUCUGGUCUCUGAUCGUUGCUCUGGUGCCGAAAGCGUGCUUACGGUUAUCAAAGUCGAUGGUCAAUAGGUUAGAACGGGUUAAAUUCGUUAAGGAUGUUGACGUA